GUGAAUCAUCGAAUUUUUGAACGCAAAUUGCACUAACUGGUAUUCCGGAGAGUAUGCCUGUUUGAGGGUCAGUGUAAAUAAAAAUCGGAGUGGUUGCUGCCUUUCGUGGUGAUGCACCGGAUUUGGGUCGUCUGGCUUUCGGUUAAGUGAACUAAAAUUUUGCAUGAUUUUUUUCGAUCGUAUUUAAAUGAUAUCACGUAAGUUUGGGAUAUAGUAUACUAGGUGUGGUAAUCCUCACGAUAUGCGC
rnacentral:misc_RNA from 1 species